ensembl:snoRNA
GUUGAGGUCUAUCCCAAUGGAGCUUCUUCUGUUGCCCACACAUCAUUGGAAAUCCCUCAUAGAGUAACUCUGUGGUUUUGCUUUACUCAUAGGACUAUUUGUUAGACUUGUGGGAAGUAACUACAAGAUAAUU